rnacentral:rRNA from 1 species
UACGUAGGGUGCAAGCGUUAAUCGGAAUUACUGGGCGUAAAGCGUGCGCAGGCGGUUAUGUAAGACAGGUGUGAAAUCCCCGGGCUUAACCUGGGAACUGCAUUUGUGACUGCAUGGCUAGAGUUUGGCAGAGGGGGGUAGAAUUCCACGGUGUAGCAGUGAAAUGCGUAGAUAUGUGGAGGAACACCGAUGGCGAAGGCAGCCCCCUGGGUCAAGACUGACGCUCAUGCACGAAAGCGUGGGGAGCAAACAGG